UACGAAGGGGGCUAGCGUUGCUCGGAAUCACUGGGCGUAAAGCGCACGUAGGCGGAUCUUUAAGUCAGGGGUGAAAUCCUGGAGCUCAACUCCAGAACUGCCUUUGAUACUGCGAAUCUCGAGUCCGGAAGAGGUGAGUGGAAUUCCUAGUGUAGAGGUGAAAUUCGUAGAUAUUAGGAAGAACACCAGUGGCGAAGGCGGCUCACUGGUCCGGUACUGACGCUGAGGUGCGAAAGCGUGGGGAGCAAACAGG
rnacentral:rRNA from 1 species